rnacentral:rRNA from 1 species
UGGUGGGGUAACGGCCCACCAAGCCUAAGAUCCGUACGGGCCAUGGGAGUGGGAGCCCGGAGAUGGACCCUGAGACAAGGGUCCAGGCCCUACGGGGCGCAGCAGGCGCGAAACCUCCGCAAUGCGGGAAACCGCGACGGGGUCAGCCGGAGUGCCGAUGCUUGCAUCGGCUGUCGGGGAGCCUAAAAAGCUCCCCAUAGCAAGGGCCGGGCAAGGCCGGUGGCAGCCGCCGCGGUAAUACCGGCGGCCCGAGUGGCGGCCACUUUUAUUGGGCCUAAAGCGUCCGUAGCCGGGCUGGUAAGUCCUCCGGGAAAUCUGGUCGCUUAACGAUCAGACUGCCGGAGGAUACUGCCAGCCUAGGGACCGGGAGAGGCCGGGGGUAUUCCCGGGGUAGGGGUGAAAUCCUGUAAUCCCGGGAGGACCACCUGUGGCGAAGGCGCCCGGCUGGAACGGGUCCGACGGUGAGGGACGAAGGCCAGGGGAGCGAACCGGAUUAGAU